AGUUUGCAAUUUUCUUCUUAACAACGCUCAACGAGGCAGUGAUCUGUUCAGACUCUAACUGACUUAAAAUGACAUAUUCAAUAAUUUUCCAUUGUUUUUUUUCCUACCUUUCAAAGCAAUUCCCUCGCAAGCUCGUAGUUUAGACGUCGAGAAUGAAGACCCUAAAGCUGAGUUAAGUGACUCUCUUCUUUCCAAAAUCAUCGCGGGACAUACCGAGUCCCUCGCGGCCCUUCUUCGUUCAAAUUCUCAUUAACACUCGCGUCAACAAAAGCUUAGCGUGUGGGGGAACUAUCAUCCACGAGUACUUCGUGCUGACUGCCGCUCAUUGUAUGGUAGAUGCAGCUGAUGUUAGGGUCGAAGUGGGUGAUUUUGCAGCCGGAAGCAACACAACCGCCCACAAAAUGCACUUUGCCUCCAAAAUCGGGUUACAUGCUGAGUUUGACAGGAGACAUCUUCAAAAUGAUAUUGCUAUAGUGCAAGUCAGACUUCCAUUCCCCAAGAUAAGGGUCAUCCCUCUUUGCGAUAGAGAGGCCAAAUUCCAAACCCUACUCGGCACUUGUGGUCUCGGGCGAAUCUCAACCGGAAGCAACCGCGCUCCAGACUACCUUAUGGAAACGUAUUUUAAAGAAAACGUUUUCUGGCGUUUCGAUCGCUGGAUCCAAGGGAGAAAAGAUAUUCUACAGACAAAACGGAUCUUGCAUGACAACACCAUAUGUUAUGGAGAUAGUGGAUCGCCCUUGUAUGUCCUAAAUGGACAGUUUAGGGAACCUAAGUGUGUAUACGGAGUGACCAGUCACUUUAGAGAGUUCUCAUCUCAACUUGAUUGCCAAGGAACGAGUUUUUUCGCCAAUGUACUGUAUUUUCGCGAGUGGAUAGAAAGUGUAAUUGCUCGUAAUUCUAAUUAAAUCCAUUAUCGAUUUAAUCUUUCGUUCAUUUUGGUUCCAUGAUUCAUCAGGACGAUUAU